CCCUUAGAUGUUCUGGGCCGCACGCGCGCUACACUGAUGCAUUCAACGAGCCUAUCCUUGACCGACAGGUCCGGGUAAUCUUUGAAUCUGCAUCGUGACGGGGAUAGAUUAUUGCAAUUAUUAAUCUUCAACGAGGAAUGCCUAGUAAGCGUGAUUCAUCAAAUCGCGUUGAUUACGUCCCUGCCCUUUGUACACACCGCCCGUCGCUCCUACCGAUUGAGUGUGUUGGUGAGGAGUUUGGAUUGGCCUCGGUAGGUGGUUCGCCACCGUCCGUAGCUGAGAAGUUCUCCAAACCGCCCCACUUAGAGGAAGGAGAAGUCGUAACA
rnacentral:rRNA from 1 species